rnacentral:lncRNA from 1 species
CAAAGACACUAAGCCCCGGGCGUCCAAGAUCCCGGGUGUGAUUUUAUCAUUAAAAAAAGUAACCGUGCACUCCUCCAAGAAUUUUAAUUCUCGCCUCCUCCUCAGCCCACUAGUCUCUUUGAAUCCCCAAGGCUGAAUAGUCCCUUGGGUUGGGGGCCAGUCCUUCGUCGCUGCCCUCCCGGGCCCUGCUCCCUCCGGGCCACUGACUCAACUUCCCCUAGUGCAACGCGGACUCAAGGAGACACGACGCCCGUCCCCGACUUGGAGCCAGGGGAGAGGGUCCUUCAGGGUCUGGCAGUCCUGGAGGCCCGGGGCGCCGCCUCCGAGGGGAGCGUGGCCGGAGGAGAUGUCAGGAGGUGGGGUCGCCGCUGGGCGCCCUGCCCGUCCCCAGCGGGAGCCAGCCCUGCUCCUUCUGCCUCGCCCCGACGGCUCAGCGGGCUCGGCCCAGCGCGGCUGCGGGACGUGAGUAAAAGGGGGUGCGAUCGGCUUGGGGAGAACGGGGACGGUUUCCUGUCCUUUGAACUGGACUGGAGGGGUGUGGAAGCCGGGGGUGGAAGCUAAGUUUUCACUUUCUCUCCAACCUGCGGCCCGUUUCAGCACCGGGGGCUGCGAACAGCGCCGCGCCCGCCCCUUCACGCAGCCGCCUCGCUCCCCGGCUCGCGGUUCUCUAAUUCGCCUCCUGUCUGGGGUCUGCGCCUCCAGCACACCUCCCGGCGCCCCCCAAAACUCCCAGCUCAAGAGCCCCUAAAAGCCUUACCCUACCAAAGUUUGAGCUUCUCCGCGGCGCGCCGGGGUCUACGGAGCGCCUCCUCCCGCAGCCUCCUGGGCGCAGCUCCGUUCGCUCCCUCCCCCGCGCUCCCGGCCCAGGACUGUGCUGGGGACGACGGAAGGAGCCUGUGGCCUCCCUCUCCGUGGGAAAGUCAGGAAGGUGUACGUCCAAGAACACACUUCUCCAUGAAGGAUGAAGACGGAAUCCCGCCUCUCCCUCACUGGCAGCUGCACACUGUCGUUCUGGAUCAUAGGAGCAGGUCCUGGGAGGAACCAAAGCCUCCUUGCCUGGGACAAGUCUCAAGACAGCCUCUUGGGUUCCAGGCUUUCAUGACUGAUAACCCUCAUGGGAAGAAACUCCACAAAAGCCAGCUAACUAGAACUUCACUGAGGACUUGGAGUUCAUGGCAUUUCCUCUUAGCAAAUCGCCUGUUCACUGAAGACAUUAUCUUUACAAGGCUUAAGUUUAUCGAGUUUACACAAUACUUGAAGGGAGAGAUGAACUGCAUACUCUUCACUGAAGAUGUAAAGAAUUAG